UGGGGAAUUUUGGGCAAUGGGCGAAAGCCUGACCCAGCAACGCCGCGUGAGGGAGGAAAUCCUUCGGGAUGUAAACCUCGCAAGCAAGGGAAGACAGCUAGAGAUUUAAUAAAUUUCUAGUCCGACGGUACCUUGCGUAAGCCACGGCUAACUACGUGCCAGCAGCCGCGGUAAUACGUAGGGUGCAGGCGUUAAUCGGAAUUACUGGGCGUAAAGGGCGUGUAGGCGGUAUGUUAAGUCAUGUGUGAAAUCCCCGGGCUUAACCUGGGAAUUGCGCUUGUAACUGGCAGGCUAGAGUGUGGCAGAGGGGGGUGGAAUUCCACGUGUAGCAGUGAAAUGCGUAGAUAUGUGGAGGAACACCGAUGGCGAAGGCAGCCCCCUGGGUUAACACUGACGCUCAUGCACGAAAGCGUGGGGAGCAAACAGGAUUAGAUACCCUUGUAGUCCCUGAGCGGGCUGGCAAGGCGCAU
rnacentral:rRNA from 1 species